AUUGAACGCUGGCGGCAGGCCUAACACAUGCAAGUCGAACGGUAACAGGAAGCAGCUUGCUGCUUUGCUGACGAGUGGCGGACGGGUGAGUAAUGUCUGGGAAACUGCCCGAUGGAGGGGGAUAACUACUGGAAACGGUAGCUAAUACCGCAUAACGUCGCAAGACCAAAGAGGGGGACCUUAGGGCCUCUUGCCAUCGGAUGUGCCCAGAUGGGAUUAGCUAGUAGGUGGGGUAACGGCUCACCUAGGCGACGAUCCCUAGCUGGUCUGAGAGGAUGACCAGCCACACUGGAACUGAGACACGGUCCAGACUCCUACGGGAGGCAGCAGUGGGGAAUAUUGCACAAUGGGCGCAAGCCUGAUGCAGCCAUGCCGCGUGUAUGAAGAAGGCCUUCGGGUUGUAAAGUACUUUCAGCGGGGAGGAAGGGAGUAAAGUUAAUACCUUUGCUCAUUGACGUUACCUGCAGAAGAAGCACCGGCUAACUCCGUG
rnacentral:rRNA from 1 species